rnacentral:rRNA from 1 species
AAUGGUGGUUAUAGCGCGGGUGUUCACCUCUUCCCUUUCCGAACAGAGCAGUUAAGCCCCGUAGCGCCAAUGGUACUGCAAUCACAUGCGGGAGAGUAGGUAGCCGCCAACC